GGAGGAGUGCCGGAGCGGUUGAACGGGACGGUCUCGAAAACCGUUGUGGGGGUAACUCCACCCAGGGUUCGAAUCCCUGCUCCUCCGCCA
rnacentral:tRNA from 1 species